rnacentral:rRNA from 1 species
UACGGAGGGUGCAAGCGUUAUCCGGAUUCACUGGGGUUAAAGGGUGCGUAGGUGGCGCCGUAAGUCAGGUGUGAAAUCUCGGGGCUUAACUCCGAAACUGCAUUGGAUACUAUCCGGCUCGAGGAAUGGAGGGGAGACUGGAAUACUUGGUGUAGCAGUGAAAUGCGUAGAUAUCAAGUGGAACACCAGUGGCGAAGGCGAGUCUCUGGACAUUUCCUGACGCUGAGGCACGAAAGCCAGGGGAGCAAACGGG